GGCGGGUGGAUCGGCGAAGAGGAGUAGGGGUGGCAGACUUGUAAUUAUGGGAAGAAUGAAGGGCUGAGUUAUCGAAAUUUGAAUUAGAAAGGUUUCGAUUUUGAUUUUGCUUGAGUUGUUGUUGCUGCUGCUGCUGCUGCUGUUCUUUGAGGGUUCGUUUCUGGAGAUCUAAAAGAGAAGGUCGGCCUUUCUUCUUCUUCGUGCUCUUCUCCACUAUCUUACCCAUUUUUUCUGUGUCUCCCUCUUUUUCUCUCUCUCUAACUAAC
rnacentral:misc_RNA from 1 species